UGCCCCAUGGCUGAGUUGGUUACAGCGUCCGACUGUUAACAGGCAAUCGGAAGGUCGAGAGUUCGAGCCUCUCUGGGGCAG